AACGAACGCUGGCGGCAGGCCUAACACAUGCAAGUCGAACGGGUACUUUCGGGUACUAGUGGCGGACGGGUGAGUAACGCGUGGGAACGUGCCCUUUGGUUCGGAAUAGCCCAGGGAAACUUGGGGUAAUACCGGAUAAGCCCUUCGGGGGAAAGAUUUAUCGCCAAUGGAUGGGCCCGCGUCGGAUUAGCUAGUUGGUGGGGUAACGGCCCACCAAGGCGACGAUCCGUAGCUGGUCUGAGAGGAUGAUCAGCCACACUGGGACUGAGACACGGCCCAGACUCCUACGGGUGGCAG
rnacentral:rRNA from 1 species